CCUUUAAAGGACAGGACAGCACUGAGCAAAUCGCCCAGACCUCCACCAGCAGGCAGAUUUCCAACCCCAGCUGCCAUCGUGGUGUGAGGAGGGCUCCACAGAGGUUGGUUCUUCACAGUUGGGCCCAAGAGACACAUCAGCAGGAAGGUGCCUGCUUGUUUAGCAUCAAGUUACUUCAGAAAGGACCUAGAAUAGUCAAAACCACAGAGAAGGAUCUGACUGUGUGGCUCUGGAUGCUGCCUUGCCCUCCCGAGUGCUGGAAUGGCAGUGCUUUGAUACCAUGCCCAGCUACCAGUUCUUGUGAUUCUUAUGAUACCUCAUCAGGGUGGAGUUUGGUAGCUUUGGAAGCCUGUUCCAAGAGAGAAAACCAGCCCGUAUGCUUAUAGACUUAAACAGGAGCCUAGCAAAACUCUCUCCUGAGAUGCUUCAUCCAAGCAGCAAAUAGAAACAGAUGCAGAGACCCACAGACAAACAUCAGGUGGAGCUCAGAAACCCUGGUGUGAAGGCAGCAGAAUCAGUAACUCUCCACUGGCAACAAAGCUGGAGCUGUGUCCUUGCAGGAGGAGAGCGUUGGCUGGGAAGAAGCUGAACGCCCAUCCUCUUUAAUGUUAGGAAGCUCUGAGAAGCUCUGAGAAGAAGAGUCUUGGCCCAGAGCGUCAUAAUGAAGUUGCUUUGGCGAGCUUCCUUUUUAAGACCUUUGGCUGUGGGUGAGCUAUGUGACCUGGGAAAUGUAAGGCAAGCUGUUGUUGCAGAUGUAGCCCAGACACAGGGCACACAAAGCCGCUGAGCUUUUGUCCUUUCAGAAACUGCAACUCUAUGAUCCAACAAAAGCAGCUUUUAAGUUUAAGUCAUCUGACAGUUUAUGUGAGGUGACAAUAAGUUAAUUUAAUAGAUGUUUAUUUUCCUCAUUUUAGAGAUGUCAUUAAUUCUAGCUUAUGUUCGAAUUCAAUAUAAUAUUUGUGCAAAACACAAAUGAAUUGUAUAUACAGUUUGUGACAGUUAGUUUUAAUUGUCAACUUGACAUAACCCAGGAUCACAUGGGAAAGGAAUCUCAGUGAGGGAUGGUCUACAUCAGAUUGGCCUGUGGGCACAUCUAAGUGGGAUUGUCUUGAUUGCCUGUGUUUAUGUGAAAAUCCAGGCCAGCAUAAAUAGCACUGCUCCCGAGACAAGAGGUCAUGCAUAUGGAGCCAAGCACAGGCAAGCAAGCAAGCAAGCAAGCAAGCAAGCAAGCAAGCAAGCAAGCAAGCAUUCAUCUCUCUUCUUGACCAUGGUUGCAAUGUGAUAGACUAUAACCUGGAAGCAUAAGCCAGGGAGAUCCUUUUUCCCCUACUUUAAUUUUUGUCAGGAUAUGCUUAUCACAGCAACAGAAAUUGAACUAUAUUAGCAUUUAUUCCUGUUAAUCCUGUUGUCUACAAAAAAAAAAAAAAA
rnacentral:lncRNA from 1 species